GCGAGUCGAGAGGUGCAGACCUCGGCAUACUGCUCAGUAACACGUGGACAACCUACCCUAUGGAGGGGGAUAACCCCGGGAAACUGGGGAUAAUACCCCAUAGACUAUGAAUGCUGGAAUGCUUUGUAGUUGAAAGGUCCGCCGCCAUAGGAUGGGUCUGCGGCCGAUUAGGUUGUUGUUGGGGUAACGGCCCAACAAGCCUGUAAUCGGUACGGGUUGUGGGAGCAAGAGCCCGGAGAUGGAUUCUGAGACACGAAUCCAGGCCCUAC
rnacentral:rRNA from 1 species